UACGGGGGGGGCAAGCGUUGUUCGGAAUUACUGGGCGUAAAGGGCUCGUAGGCGGCCAACUAAGUCCGACGUGAAAUCCCACGGCUCAACCGUGGAAGUGCAUUCGAAACUGCAGGGCUAGAGUCCUGGAGAGGAAGGUGGAAUGCUUGGUGUAGAGGUGAAAUUCGUAGAUAUCAAGCGGAACACCGGUGGCGAAGGCGGCCUUCUGGACAGUGACUGACGCUGAGACGGCGAAA
rnacentral:rRNA from 1 species